AACGAACGCUGGCGGCAGGCUUAACACAUGCAAGUCGAGCGCCCCACAAGGGGAGCGGCAGACGGGUGAGUAACGCGUGGGAAUCUACCUUUUGCUACGGAAUAACUCAGGGAAACUUGUGCUAAUACCGUAUGUGUCCUUCGGGAGAAAGAUUUAUCGGCAAGAGAUGAGCCCGCGUUGGAUUAGCUAGUUGGUGAGGUAAUGGCUCACCAAGGCGACGAUCCAUAGCUGGUCUGAGAGGAUGAUCAGACACAUUGGGACUGGGACACGGCCCAAACUCCUACGGGAGGCAGCAGUGGGGAAUAUUGGACAAUGGGCGCAAGCCUGAUCCAGCCAUGCCGCGUGAGUGAUGAAGGCCCUAGGGUUGUAAAGCUCUUUCACCGGUGAAGAUAAUGACGGUAACCGGAGAAGAAGCCCCGGCUAACUUCGUGCCAGCAGCCGCCGUAA
rnacentral:rRNA from 1 species